rnacentral:tRNA from 1 species
UGGGGAUUCGUCUAAGGGUAGGACGGCUGACUCUGGAUCAGCUAGUGGUGGUUCGAAUCCAUCAUCCCCAGCCA